rnacentral:rRNA from 1 species
GACGAACGCUGGCGGCGUGCUUAACACAUGCAAGUCGAACGGGAAGGCCCUGCUUUUGUGGGGUGCUCGAGUGGCGAACGGGUGAGUAACACGUGAGUAACCUGCCCUUGACUUUGGGAUAACUUCGGGAAACUGGGGCUAAUACCGGAUAGGAGCUCCUGCUGCAUGGUGGGGGUUGGAAAGUUUCGGCGGUUGGGGAUGGACUCGCGGCUUAUCAGCUUGUUGGUGGGGUAGUGGCUUACCAAGGCUUUGACGGGUAGCCGGCCUGAGAGGGUGACCGGCCACAUUGGGACUGAGAUACGGCCCAGACUCCUACGGGAGGCAGCAGUGGGGAAUAUUGCACAAUGGGCGGAAGCCUGAUGCAGCAACGCCGCGUGCGGGAUGACGGCCUUCGGGUUGUAAACCGCUUUCGCCUGUGACGAAGCGUGAGUGACGGUAAUGGGUAAAGAAGCACCGGCUAACUACGUG